rnacentral:rRNA from 1 species
GGGGGGGGCAAGCGUUGUUCGGAAUUACUGGGCGUAAAGGGCUCGUAGGCGGCCAACUAAGUCAGACGUGAAAUCCCUCGGCUUAACCGGGGAACUGCAUCUGAUACUGGAUGGCUUGAGAUUGGGAGAGGGAUGCGGAAUUCCAGGUGUAGCGGUGAAAUGCGUAGAUAUCUGGAGGAACACCGGUGGCGAAGGCGGCAUCCUGGACCAACACUGACGCUGAGGAGCGAAAGCCAGGGGAGCAAACGGGAUUAGAUACCCCGGUAGUCCUGGCCCUAAACGAUGAAUGCUUGGUGUGGCGGGUAUCGAUCCCUGCCGUGCCGAAGCUAACGCAUUAAGCAUUCCGCCUGGGGAGUACGGUCGCAAGGCUG